UACUGAGUUUACAGAGUGCUUUGAGGUC
rnacentral:piRNA from 1 species